CGCAUCUGAAACCUGCCGGCAGUGCUGGGGCUGGGGCUGGGUGCCGGCCAGCUGACUUUGACAGUCUCUCUGACCUUUUCUACCACACAGGAAAUCUCAAGGGGCCUCUGGGGCCCAACGGGGGCUGUUCUCAAGGUGCAGCUGAGAACACAGGGAAGGGGCCCUUUCUACAAUGAGGUAGGUGCUAGGAAACUGGAAUUACUACAUUGUUCACUGCUGGAGAUGAUGGCUGUAUCCACAGUGUGGAAGCUUUACCCAAGAACACAGAGCAGGAUCUUCUCUCUGCUUCCUCAGCUGAACAUAGGAUAACUAGGCUGGACUUAAGAUCAAAGCCCACAUCUCCAUUGGAAACAGGCAGUGAUAAAGGCUUAACCUUUGGGAUGCUCUUCGUCCUCUGUGAAAGCCCAAGUUCCUGUGUUCUGCAGUAGAAGACCCACCUUCCCCUGAAAUUCACGCUGAAAUGGUCAACUCCAAGGCGUUGGCGCUGGGGCCCUGGGAGGGGAUUAGGCCAAGAAGCUGUGGCUGUUGAGUGCCAUUGGUUCCCUUACUCCUUCAGAGGCCUGACGGAGCUCAGAAUAUGCGCCCCCACCAGGCUUCACAUCUGCAGGUGCCUUGACCUUGCAUUUCCAGCGCUCAGAGCUAUGAGAAAUAAAUUUCUGUUGAUAAGCUGACCCGUUCAUGGUAUUUUGUUAUAGUGGCACAGAUAGACUACGACAUCCUAGGGAUU